GAGGACAAUGGUGGGAGAUAUUUUAAAAGUCUGUUUGAAUUGGUCUCUGCAUUUGCUUUCACAGAUUAGUGACCAGGGUGGGGACUUGGAGCACAUGUGUGCAUCGACACUGGAUUUUACAAUUGAUCUACAACACACAGCUCUGGUGUCUUCUGACAGAUCAUUGAUGAGGCAGGCCAGCCCUGUUACCUCGGGUGCAGUCUGCUCUUCAGAGUGAGCGCGACGUUGGGACAAAUGGCCUUUGGCUUUGCCUGGGAUACAGCAGACGACAGAACAGAGUGACGGGAACAGAACAAGGUAAUUAUUUCCUCGUCCAGCUGGCCUGCAGAUUCUCGCAAAGGUCCCACUUUAAACAUUUCUCGCUGCUGACUUUUUGAUUGCCACAGUGACUCAUGUUCAUGUUUAGAAUCCAGACACAAAUCUCAUUUGAAACUCCUCUGUGGCUCAGCACUGGUGUGCCCACAGAGCCCACAGGCGUCCACAUUCCAUCACACAUGCGGAGCGGUGGCAAUGUGGCUAAGGAUCUGUGCUUGUGGCCUGAAGGUUGCCGGUUCAAAUCCUACAGCCAGCAGAGGAAUCCUACUCUGACGUGACUAAUAGUGUCGUCGGUGUUAUCUAACAGGCUGACGCCACAGGUGUCUCAUCU
rnacentral:lncRNA from 1 species